rnacentral:rRNA from 1 species
AUUGAACGCUGGCGGCAUGCUUACACAUGCAAGUCGAGCGGCAGCGCGGGGCAACCCUGGCGGCGAGCGGCGAACGGGUGAGGAAUGCAUCGGAACGUGCCCGGGAGUGGGGGAUAACGCCGCGAAAGCGGCGCUAAUACCGCAUAUUCUCUGUGGAGGAAAGUGGGGGACCGCAAGGCCUCACGCUUUCGGAGCGGCCGAUGUCGGAUUAGCUUGUUGGUGGGGUAAAGGCUUACCAAGGCGACGAUCCGUAGCUGGUCUGAGAGGAUGAUCAGCCACACUGGGACUGAGACACGGCCCAGACUCCUACGGGAGGCAGCAGUGGGGAAUUUUGGACAAUGGGGGCAACCCUGAUCCAGCCAUGCCGCGUGCGGGAAGAAGGCCUUCGGGUUGUAAACCGCUUUUAGUCGGGAAGAAAAGGCAAGGGUUAACACCUCUUGUUCUUGACGGUACCGGCGGAAUAAGCACCGGCUAACUACGUG